ensembl:processed_transcript
AUUACGAACACCUGACCUGCAGUGCAGCAGAAUUCAGAGACAUGUAACGUACUCCAGAGACGCACUAACUUGCACAGCACUGAAUGGAAAAGGCUUUGUCCAUGUCCAGUUGAGGGCAUCAAGAACAUGCAGAUAGCCUAAACCUGUGUCAGCCUGGACAGACUGCAGUUCUGCUACUCCACGCCAAGGUUUUUGUAUGGAUGUCUGACUACUACUGUGUUCUCUAAAGGUUUUCUGGAAGCUCCAUUUGAGGGCAUCAAGGACAUACUGAUGGCCUAAACCAGUGUCAGCCUAGACAGACAGACAUCUAUUGCAGUUCUGCUACACAAGACCAAACUCUCUGCUUUUGUAUGGAUGUCUGACUAGUACGGUGUUCUCUAAAGGUAUAACUGGAGCAAAACAACAGCAUCCGUUACAGUGAAAUUUGUGUUCAUAAAAGAUAGUGAUAUAUGUGUAACAGGUCCAGUACAUUUGUCAUAAAGGUUAAAUCACAGUAAGUACUGUAAAAAUAACUUGUUUGCCUUUGCCACAACAGGUCAUGGUGUGUGCAUACUGCUCGUAGUAAACACACACGCUGAUCUGAUGCGGGAGAGAUAUAUGCAAACAUAUUUGUAUUUACUGUUUUGUUUUGCCUCACUAAAGUGUUGUUGGAGCUUGGUAUGUUCACAGUUGAAAUCACUGAAGUCACAUGGAACGUUUUGACAAUGUGUUUUGUGCCUUAUCUUGACGAUGACCAUCUUGGGACCAUUGCUGUCUGUAGAGGAUGAGGAGCAUUUAAUCUAAAAUAUUUUAGUUUGUGUUCUGAAGAUUAACAGGUCUCUGGGAUGACACAAGUAAUUAAUAACAGAACCUAUAUGAACACUUAAUGUGACAUGUAAUAGUGAAAUAGUGGUCCUACAUUCACAAAUGUGAGCCAUUAUUAUAAGACCACUGUGAACAUGCAAUUUUUAUGAUACUAAUAAUAAUGGAAUAACAAAUUGCUUUUA